rnacentral:rRNA from 1 species
GAUGAACGCUGGCGGCGUGCUUAACACAUGCAAGUCGAACGAGAAGUGGAGACGGAAACCUUCGGGCGGAAGACUUUAUUUCGAGUGGCGGACGGGUGAGUAACGCGUGGGUAACCUGCCUCAUACAGGGGGAUAACAGUUGGAAACGACUGUUAAUACCGCAUAAGACCACAGCACCGCAUGGUGCGGGGGUAAAAACUCCGGUGGUAUGAGAUGGACCCGCGUUCGAUUAGCCAGUUGGCGGGGUAACGGCCCACCAAAGCGACGAUCGAUAGCCGACCUGAAGGGUGGCCCGGCCAAAUUGGAACGGGACAACGCCCCAACCUCCACGGGAAGCAGGCGGUGGGAAUAAUUGACCAAGGGGGAAACCCUGAUGCAGCGACGCCGCGUGAGUGAAGAAGUAUUUCGGUAUGUAAAGCUCUAUCAGCAGGGAAGAAAAUGACGGUACCUGAGUAAGAAGCCCCGGCUAACUACGUG